UGGGGAAUUUUGGACAAUGGGCGAAAGCCUGACGCAGCAACGCCGCGUGAGGGAUGAAAUAUUUCGGUAUGUAAACCUCGCAAAUAUGGGAAGAACACAAUGACGGUACCAUAUGUAAGCCACGGCUAACUUCGUGCCAGCAGCCGCGGUAAUACGAAGGUGGCAAGCGUUGUUCGGAAUUACUGGGCGUAAAGCGCGUGUAGGCGGCUCUUCAAGUCAGACGUGAAAUCCCCGGGCUUAACCUGGGAACUGCGUUUGAAACUGAGGGGCUAGAGUGUGGAAGAGGGGGGUGGAAUUCCAGGUGUAGCAGUGAAAUGCGUAGAGAUCUGGAGGAACACCGAUGGCGAAGGCAGCCCCCUGGGCUAACACUGACGCUCAUGCACGAAAGCGUGGGGAGCAAACAGGAUUAGAUACCCACGUAGUCCCUGAGCGGGCUGGCAAGGCGCAU
rnacentral:rRNA from 1 species